rnacentral:ribozyme from 1 species
UUUCUUGUCUUUCCCUCAAAUCUUAGUCGUUGUUUCGUUUUCUUUCUUCCCCAUAUAUUGUUGGCACCAAAAAAAAAACCAAAACAACAUGGACGAAGAGGUGCUUUCUGAAGUGGAGGAAACAGUUGCGGAAACAAUGGAAGAAACUGAAGAAGUCGAAAUUGGGGGAUUUCAGUUUGUUUUGUCCGAUGAAAAAAUGGAAGAAA